GAGUUUGAUCCUGGCUCAGGAUGAAUGCUGGCGACAUGGAUAAGGCAUGCAAGUCGGGGGGGGCCGCAAGGUCAACCGGCAGACGAGGUAGUAACACGUAGGUACCCACCCCAAAGUCUGGUAUAGCUCGUCGAAGGGCGGGGUAAUCCCGGAUGGUCCCGCAAGGGUAAGGAUUUAUCGCUUUGGGAGCGGCCUGCGUAAUAUCAGCUAGUUGGUAGGGUAAUGGCCUACCAAGGCUACGACGUUUAGGGGAGCUGAGAGGCUGACCCCCACCGAUGGGACUGAGACACGGCCCAUACUCCUACGGGAGGCCGCAGUCGAGAAUCUUCCACAAUGGACGAAAGUCUGAUGGAGCGAUGUCGCGUGAUGGACGAAGUGCUUCGGUACGUAAACAUCUUUUAUGUGGGACGAAUUUUUUGACGGUACCACAUGAAUAAGGGGCUCCUAACUCUGUGCCAGCAGGAGCGGUAAUACAGAGGCCCCAAGCAUUAUCCGGAAUCAUUGGGCGUAGAGGGUGUCGAGGCGGUUAUGUUACUCUUCCGUUAAAUCCGUGGGCUCAACCUACGGUCUGCGGGAGAAACGGCAUAACUUGAGGGCGGGAGAGGUGUGUGGAACUCACGGUGUAG
rnacentral:rRNA from 1 species